GAUGAAGAACGUAGCGAAAUGCGAUAAGUAAUGUGAAUUGCAGAAUUCAGUGAAUCAUCGAAUCUUUGAACGCACCUUGCGCUCCUUGGUAUUCCGAGGAGCAUGCCUGUUUGAGUGUCAUUAAUAUAUCAACCUUCUCUUUUUUGAGUUGUUUGGAUGUGGGGGUUUGCUGGCCUCUUAAAUGAUUCAGCUCCCCUGAAAUGCAUUAGCAGAACAACCUGUUCAUUAGCGUGAUAACUAUCUAUGCUAUUGAAUGUGAGGGCAGUUCAGCUUUCUAACCGUCCUUGGACAAUUCAUCAUUAAUGUGACCUCAAAUCAGGUAGGACUACCCGCUGAACUUAAGCAUAUCAAUAAGCGGAGGA
rnacentral:misc_RNA from 1 species